rnacentral:rRNA from 1 species
GGCUCAGGAUUAACGCUAGCGGCAGGCAUAAUACAUGCAAGUUGAACGGGAUUAGUUGUAGCAAUACGACUAUGAGAGUAGCGCACGGGUGCGUAACGCGUAUGCAACCUGCCUCCAACUGGGGAAUAGCCCCUCGAAAGAGGGAUUAAUACCGCAUAAAAUAGUGAAUAGGCAUCUAUUUACUAUUAAAACUACGGUGGUUGGAGAUGGGCAUGCGUGACAUUAGCUAGUUGGUAAGGUAAUGGCCUACCAAGGCUACGAUGUCUAGGGGGUCUGAGAGGAUGUCCCCCCACACUGGUACUGAGAUACGGACCAGACUCCUACGGGAGGCAGCAGUAGGGAAUAUUGGUCAAUGGACGCAAGUCUGAACCAGCCAUGCCGCGUGCAGGAUGACGGCCCUAUGGGUUGUAAACUGCUUUUGUACGGGAAGAAACCCCAUUACGUGUAAUGGGUUGACGGUACCGUGAGAAUAAGGAUCGGCUAACUUCGUGCCAGCAGCCGCGGUAAUACGAAGGAUCCUAGCGUUGUCCGGAUUUACUGGGUUUAAAGGGUGCGUAGGCGGACUUUUAAGUCAGUGGUGAAAGCCUGCAGCUUAACUGUAGAAUUGCCAUUGAAACUGAUUGUCUCGAGUGCGGUUGAGGUCACUGGAAUGUAUCAUGUAGCGGUGAAAUGCUUAGAUAUGAUACAGAACACCAAUUGCGAAGGCAGGUGACUAAGCCGUAACUGACGCUGAGGCACGAAAGCGUGGGGAUCAAACAGGAUUAGAUACCCUGGUAGUCCACGCCCUAAACGUUGAAUACUCGACCUUAGCGAUAUACUGUUAGGGUCCAAGCGAAAGCGUUAAGUAUUCCACCUGGGAAGUA